rnacentral:rRNA from 1 species
GAUGAACGCUGGCGGCGUGCUUAACACAUGCAAGUCGAGCGAAGCACUUAAGUUUGAUUCUUCGGAUGAAGACUUUUGUGACUGAGCGGCGGACGGGUGAGUAACGCGUGGGUAACCUGCCUCAUACAGGGGGAUAGCAGUUAGAAAUGACUGCUAAUACCGCAUAAGACCACAGUACCGCAUGGUACAGUGGUAAAAACUCCGGUGGUAUGAGAUGGACCCGCGUCUGAUUAGGUAGUUGGUGGGGUAACGGCCUACCAAGCCGACGAUCAGUAGCCGACCUGAGAGGGUGACCGGCCACAGUGGGACUGAGACACGGCCCAGACUCCUACGGGAGGCAGCAGUGGGGAAUAUUGCACAAUGGAGGAAACUCUGAUGCAGCGACGCCGCGUGAAGGAUGAAGUAUUUCGGUAUGUAAACUUCUAUCAGCAGGGAAGAAAAUGACGGUACCUGACUAAGAAGCCCCGGCUAACUACGUGCCAGCCGCCGCAGUAA